AGUUGGAUUCCAUGACUGUUAAAGCCUGGAGAAUGUUGAGAAUUUUUUAUUUUCAGAUGAAGGACAGUAAUAGCAAAAACAAACCUGAGCUUUGAUCCUACUUUGUUGUAUUUCCAGGAACAUAUGAUUCCUAUGUCCAUUCAGUCAAUCAGGCAGUUGGUCAGUCAUUUAAUAAGCACUUAUUAACUACCUUCUCUAUGCUAGAUCUUUGAGAUGUAAAGAUAGCUCACUAAUUCCAUAUUUGAUGAAGGGAAUAAAGAAAGGAAGAGGGAAAGGAUUAGAAGGAAGGCUGAGAUUCAUCUGGAAAAAUAUUGACUAGAUUAUUCCCCAAAUGGACAAUUUCAUGGAUGAAAAUGCAUCAAUAGUAAAGGGAAUAGCAUAUAAAAGAAAGCAGUCUAAGAAGAGACCAGUGGAGAACAGAAAAAGUAAACUGAGACUCAAAAAAGGAAUUUGACCCAUCUCACACAACUAGCAAUCAUCUCAGAGGGAGAUACACAGCCUGUGGCUAGAUGAAGAGGAAGCCUUGUUAUGGAGUCCCACGACAAGAUAUAUUCACUGAGAAGUCUUGGAAAAUCAAAUUGGUAAAUUCCCAAAUCACAGGAUGGCAAGAUGAUGACACUAAGACUGGAGCAACAUGGCAGAGAAGGGACACUAAGACUAUGUAGGAUCUUGUGGUAAAGAAGGAUAUACCAGAAUGCCAAAGUGGUAUUUCAAUGACAACCCCAAGUUUAGUUCCCUUGUGAGAUCAGUUCAGAGACAGGUGGCACUAAUUCUUGAGGAUACUGUCAACUUGAAAUCUGGAGACCCCAAGUGUGCCCUUGUCCCAUGAGAAUUCACCCCAAUGGCUCAGGGGUUUCAGAAUUAAAGUCCUAGGUAAUCCUAGUUUAGGUGGGGCUAGCUGCCAAGUGAAUACUCUUUUUGGCUUAGUAGUUUCUCCCAUUGUAUCAAAGUCCUCUUCCAGGAAGUCCAGCCCUCCGCUGAGCUUUUCCCUUUUACAUCCAUUGUAAAGCAUCAGCCUCUCCUUGAUAAUCCUGUCUUGGACUUCUCAUUUCCUUGUAGCCAUUGUAAAGCCAAUCAAUCAUUCUUCCUGGUCCCCAGUUCCGCAGGAGGUAUAUAAGUUCCCCAAAUUCUAUUGUCCUCUAGAGAACUCAUCUAAUGUGGUGCAUUCUCCCAGGGAUACAUUCCAGAGUCCCCAGGGAAUAGGCCCUGUGUAGUUUUGGCACUGAGCUCUGCAUAGGGGCCAAUUACUGGACCUUUCCUUCUCCUGAUUAAAGACUUGGUUUUUCUGACUACUUUAGUAGUUCGGUGUUUUUCCCAAGUUAACAAUACAGAACUUUGGGAGAGUGGUAUCACCAGAAAGGGAUACAAAGUGGGUUAAUAGCCAUUAAUCUCAAGCUCUUUGCAUCUUUCUAUGGGAUAAAAUAAAAAUGUCUUUGUCCCAGAUACCAUUUAUUACCUUAUUUGCUUCUGUGGAGAUGGAAGCAAAGGAAGGGAGAUCCCCAUUAACUGUAUGUGGUAGUUUUCCCAGUGUUUUUAGGACUAACUGGAGACUUAUUGAUGUUUCAAGUCAAUUUGUAUGGCCUUAUGUUAGAUACCCAGGGCAUGAUAAAAAAUGGAAAGAACAAAUGAAAAGGAGGCAGGUGUGUUUAUUUAUCUCAGUCUGAGGAAGGCGGCAAUAAGUACCGGCUUAUUUAA